AUUGAACGCUGGCGGCAUGCCUUACACAUGCAAGUCGAACGGCAGCGGGCCCUUCGGGGUGCCGGCGAGUGGCGAACGGGUGAGUAAUGCAUCGGAACGUACCCGGGAGAGGGGGAUAACCGGCCGAAAGGCUGGCUAAUACCGCAUGAACUCGGAAGAGCAAAGCGGGGGACCUUCGGGCCUCGCGCUCUCGGAGCGGCCGAUGUCCGAUUAGGCUAGUUGGUGGGGUAAAGGCCCACCAAGGCGACGAUCGGUAGCGGGUCUGAGAGGACGAUCCGCCACACUGGGACUGAGACACGGCCCAGACUCCUACGGGAGGCAGCAGUGGGGAAUCCUGGACAAUGGGCGCAAGCCUGAUCCAGCAAUGCCGCGUGGGUGAAGAAGGCCUUCGGGUUGUAAAGCCCUUUCGGCGGGGAAGAAAUCGGUCAGGCGAAUAGUCUGGCCGGAUGACGGUACCCGCAGAAGAAGCACCGGCUAACUACGUG
rnacentral:rRNA from 1 species